UGGGGAAUAUUGCGCAAUGGGGGGAACCCUGACGCAGUGACGCCGCGUGAGUGAAGAAGGUCUUCGGAUCGUAAAGCUCUGUCAUCGGGGACGAAGGUAUGACGGUACCCGAAGAGGAAGCCCCGGCUAACUACGUGCCAGCAGCCGCGGUAAUACGUAGGGGGCGAGCGUUGUCCGGAAUUACUGGGCGUAAAGGGUGCGUAGGCGGCCUGAUAAGUCAGGUGUGAAAUACCAGGGCUCAACCCUGGGGGUGCACUUGAAACUGUCGGGCUUGAGUGCAGGAGAGGAAAGCGGAAUUCCUAGUGUAGCGGUGAAAUGCGUAGAUAUUAGGAGGAACACCAGUGGCGAAGGCGGCUUUCUGGACUGUAACUGACGCUGAGGCACGAAAGCGUGGGUAGCGAACAGGAUUAGAUACCCUGGUAGUCCACGCCGUAAACGAUGGAUACUAGGUGUAGGGAGGUAUUAACCUUUCUGUGCCGUAGUUAACGCAAUAAGUAUCCCGCCUGGGGAGUACGUGCGCAAGCCUUG
rnacentral:rRNA from 1 species